GGAGGGUUGCGCCGAAUGGUAAGGCAGCGGUUUGCUAAACCGUGACGGCAUUAAAACCGUCUGUGGGUUCGACUCCCACACCCUCCG
rnacentral:tRNA from 1 species